ensembl:lncRNA novel transcript
UCAAACUGGAAGCAGACAAAGGCAGCCAGAACUAUCUUAUUUAUUAUAAAGAUACACCGUGAAGAACAAACCUGACUGUAUACUGAAGCCUGUAAUGGUACAUGCCAAAAAUGUACAGUACUAUACAUAAAAGUGCAUUGUCACAACAGAUUAACAAAACAUUUUUUUUCUUUCCAGACUGUAAAAGCAUCCCCCUUUAUUUUCACCUCAGAGAGGAGGGAAUGAAAUGGUGAGAGGCAGUACAGAGCACGGGCGAAUGCGAUGCUGUCAGCAGCACAUGAGCGGGGGACUGAUGCGGUGGGAUGGGAGGACACAGGGGCUCUUUAACUUUGGAUUUCCAAGGCUGAUCAGAUGAAAGUUUCUUCAGUUUGUAGACUCCAGAGGCUAUGUCAUUCCUAAAUGUUAAGGACACAACUACCAACCCACGCCUCUUUUCCUUUUCUUUAAAUUAUAAACCCCCCC